UCCCGGCCGCCGCCGCCGCCGCCGCCGCCGCCGUCCGCGGAGGAGGAGGAGGAGGACGAGUCCCACGUUUCCCGCGACGUCGGGUCUCCGCGCGGUCAGGCUGGAGGAGGUGAGCGGCGGUGCGCUGGCAGGAGCCGGGCUGCUGGGGUGCCGUCUCUCUUCUGGCGUCUUCCAGAACUUACGGCGGAGCAGGUGCCCGUGCAAGAGUGAGAUUCACACACCGGGCGAGCAGACAUUGAAAGGACAAAGGACCCGUCUCCCUGGAAGAGCCGACGUUGAUCAGAUCUGCCUGUGGGAAUCCAGACGACACCAGUGGUAUCAGGGAUUGGUCGUGUUACCUUGAGCCCGUCUGAAGCGUUCUUUCCAGAACUCAAUUCUUAAGGCAAAGCGUACAGAAUACUGUAUCGUGCGCAUCGUGGUCCGGGUAGCAGUCGUUGGGGACGGUGUGCGGCGGCAGUGACUGCUCACAAUGAUGGCAGCUGCUCUCCGCUGCGGGACAUCUCCGUGCACCGGGAAUUGAGCUCAGGGUCUUGCCCUCAGCAGCCCAGGGCUGUAGUUGUGCCCUUGUUACAAACGAAGAAACUGAAGCUAACACACGGUACUUGUCCAUCUGCGGCCCGCAGGGUGUAUGUGUGGUGGCGCUGGGAUGGGAACACAGACAUCUGACUUGGCAGGUGUGUGGUGCCCUGCGCCCUGCUGUUCCGCGCAGGCUUCCCGGGCCGGCUCACCGGGGGCAGCAGUGAUGGCAGAGGCUGGGGGGUGGCGGCUGCCUGCCAGGUGGACUGACCCUCCAGCAGAGGGAGGAAGACCUCACUCACACUCAGCGCGAAUGGGAAUUUUCACAGGAGAAUCUCCUCCAGGGAAAGGAAACGUGUGAAGCUGGUGGGGUCUGCAGGGCGAGCGGAGGGAGGGUCUGCCUCCAGCUCCAGGACGUCCCUCCUCCCCUGGCAACUGGUCUACAUUCCCAACUAAGUGAAGGUCAGCCUAACGCCUACCCAGCAUGGAUCUCUUCUUUCAACAGAAAUGACAGACCCUGUCCCAUCAGUGAUUUUUCAAGCAUCAGCCCAUUGCAACAAGUGUUGAGUAGAAGUGGCCAGGACAGACGCUCUUGUGUUCCUGAUCUUCUCCCGGCGAGACUGUGGUCACUGUGGGGUCCCCCGAGCUGUGCCCGAGGUCUGUUGUCAGUGUAACGUGAAAAAGAGAAAUCAAGGGUUACAGAUGAGAAAGCGGGAACGGAAAACACUGCAACCAUGUCAGUGAACGAAGAACGCUGAAGCCAUCAAGUCAUCAGCGGCUGCCGCCCCACCCCCCACCCCCGAGGGAAGACCAGCCUGCAGCCCGGCCUCUGCAGCCACUCACAGUGGUGCACCCUGAGGGGAUCAGAACAAGAAAGGAUGGGACACUGGCCCUAGAUGGCUAGGUGCUUGUCAAAGGAAUGAAUUCAGUGAGCCCAAAUGUUUGCUUCCUCCCAUACAUGGAAAAGCACUGAAUUCUGUAACUUGAGAUGCCUGUUUUUCUUUAGUUAACAAGUAAUCUUUUAUUGUUCCAACUCCCUGGUCUUUGUUGUAAAGCUCCUAUAUCUCCUAGCUGGUCCCCUGCCUCUUCAGAGCCAUCCCUCAGAGCGACCUGAGAGGCUGUCAUCCCAGCUGAGUCCUCAGAAUUGUCCACGGAAUAAAACAUAACUCUCAAC